rnacentral:rRNA from 1 species
CCUACGGGUGGCUGCAGUAGGGAAUAUUGCUCAAUGGUGGAAACCCUGAAGCAGCCACGCCGCGUGGAGGAUGAAGGUUCUCGGAAUCUUAACCCUCUUUGUUAGAGAAGAUAAUGAUGGUAUCUAACGCAUAAGCACCGGCUAACUCCGUGCCAGCAGCCGCGGUAAUAUGGAGGGAGCCAGCGUUACACGGAAUCACUGGGCGUAAAGAGCGCGUAGGCGGGUUAGCAAGUCAGAUGUGAAAUCCUAGGGCUUAACCAUAGAACUGCAUUUGAAACUGUUAUUCUAGAGUAUGGGAGAGGUAGGUGGAAUUCUGGGUGUAGGGGUAAAAUCCGUAGAGAUCAAGAAGAAUACUCAUUGCGAAGGCGACCUGCUAGAACAUAACUGACGCUGAUGCGCGAAAGCGUGGGGAGCAAACAGGAUUAGAUACCCGAGUAGUC